GAUGUGCGCAAGCACUUUUCCCUUCAUACACCUGUGCACCGUGGUCUUCGGACCUUUACAAACAUUGUAGUCAAGAACGUCUUUUAUGAUAACAAAAUAAAACUUUCAACAACGGAUCUCUUGGCUCU
rnacentral:misc_RNA from 1 species